UGAUAUAUAUAGAUUCUACCACUGCAUCGAGUGUAAUACGAUAUUUAUCCACUCGAGACAGUUAAAUUUUUAAAUUUAAAUUUAACUGUCGAGAGUGGAUAAAUAUCGUAUUACACGAGAUUUGGUGGUGAAAUCUGUUUCUCA
rnacentral:sRNA from 1 species